rnacentral:rRNA from 1 species
UACAGAGGUCUCGAGCGUUAGGCGGAAUCACUGGGCUUAAAGCGUGUGUAGGUGGAUCGUUAAGUACCUUGUGAAAUCUCACAGCUUAACUGUGAAACUGCAUUGGAUACUAUCCGGCUCGAGGAAUGGAGGGGAGACUGGAAUACUUGGUGUAGCAGUGAAAUGCGUAGAUAUCAAGUGGAACACCAGUGGCGAAGGCGAGUCUCUGGACAUUUCCUGACGCUGAGGCACGAAAGCCAGGGGAGCAAACGGG